AGUGAACGCUGGCGGCAGGCCUAACACAUGCAAGUCGAACGGCAGCACAGUAAGAGCUUGCUCUUACGGGUGGCGAGUGGCGGACGGGUGAGGAAUACAUCGGAAUCUACUUUUUCGUGGGGGAUAACGUAGGGAAACUUACGCUAAUACCGCAUACGACGUACGGGUGAAAGCAGGGGAUCUUCGGACCUUGCGCGAUUGAAUGAGCCGAUGUCGGAUUAGCUAGUUGGCGGGGUAAAGGCCCACCAAGGCGACGAUCCGUAGCUGGUCUGAGAGGAUGAUCAGCCACACUGGAACUGAGACACGGUCCAGACUCCUACGGGAGGCAGCAGUGGGGAAUAUUGGACAAUGGGCGAAAGCCUGAUCCAGCCAUGCCGCGUGGGUGAAGAAGGCCUUCGGGUUGUAAAGCCCUUUUGUUGGGGAAGAAAAGCAGCAGGUUAAUACCCCGCUGUUCUGACGGUACCCAAAGAAUAAGCACCGGCUAACUUCGUG
rnacentral:rRNA from 1 species